GGGCUAUCAGUGAUGGAGGGGCUGUGCCAGGAUGGGAUCUUGGGUGCUCUCCUGUGGGCUGAGGUUCCCCAGGAAAUCUGUUCCUGCACUGGGAAAGCUUUCCUGAUUGUCUCAAACCCCAGCCUCAGAACUGGGGUGGGAGCCUGCUGGGAGGAAGUGAUCCUGGGUUAAGAGGCUCAAACUGUCAAAGCCAAUUUGCUUCUGCAAAUGCUUGGAAAUGCUGGUGAGUGGUGGAAGCAAGCAGCCUCCAGUCUAACCAAGGAUUUCUACUGCUGCUGGCUCUGUAGAAGAGAUUUUAAGGUCAGUUUUAAAAUAGUUCUCCCUAGAAAGAGCUGGUUCAGGAGGAUGACACUAGCUAAUAUGCACAGAUCAGAGAUCUGCAGCCAGUUGUUCCUGUAGACAGCCUGUAUCUGGUGUUUGAGCUGAACUCUGGUAUGCAGAAAGCUCUUCUGUCCAAAGUGAGAGUCUCAGCAGUGCCAAGGACCAAUUACCCCUUCCCUGUCAAAAGUGAGUGUCCUGUUUACUGUUUGAACUGGCUGACUCAAAAUUCCAGCUUCUGUCUGUGCUUCUAAAAGAUUUUGGUGGCAAGGUCCUUUGAAUGCUCUGCAGACAUCAACCAGCCUCCUUGAUGCCCCUGGAAGGCUGCUUGGUGAGGAGGACACCCCUUGCUCAAGACAAGGGACUACCAGCAGUGGAAGGGGUGGCUGCCCAUCCCUGUCCCCACGCUGGUGUCCUGGCUCCUGCUGCCAUGCUUGAGGCACCUGACACCUCUGUGCCUCCCCUCACAAAGGCUCUGCUUGUCCUGCAGCUCCCAGCCUGUUUUAUGAGCGGAAACUGAGUCAGCACACGGUGCUCACUGACGCCGGCCACUGCUGCUUCUCCUACCCACUAGCUGCGAGCUUGGAAAACAGUUUGAAGCAGAAGCAUAAAAUGGGCUUUGUUGAAAUGUGUUAGCUCACCUGGAGUCUUCAGAACCUGUGUGUGUAUUUUAGGAAGCAGAAUAACCCAACUUUACAACUUGCAGUAUUUGGAAGCACAGCACAAUUAUGUGGCUGUUCCAGCCCCUGGGAGACUGGGAGAUGAAAAUAAUGGUUUUUGAGGUAGUAAGUGGGGUGGAGAGAGCCUUUGGGAAGCAGCAGUAGAUUAAAUGGCAUCAAAGCAUUGCUAGUGUUCAUUUAUUUUCCCAAAGGCCUUUAGGUCUUCUAUUAGGCUCUCCCUAAUUAUUUGUAAGGCAAUAAAUCCAAUCAGAAUACUGAAAGAGGUUCACCCAGACCAAGAAAUGUGCUUUAAUGUUCCUCCUAGUGCAUUCUAUU